CCUCGUCAAGCCCCGGAACGCGUAGCUGUGCCAAAAAGUAGAGCAACGUGCGGUGACCGACGUGGACGUGUCAGGCACACGAGGGCCAGUUUGAAAGGCUUCCCGCUGGCCAAAUCAAGGAAGGAGAGUGUUGGUCAUCUUACCUGUGGACUCAGAGCUAGAAUCCAGAACCCGCUUGGAAUCCACUUUUUAAAGCCUGGGAUCAGAACCCCUAGGACGGGGCAUUUCUCCACCAUGCGCCCACGGGACCAGAGGAUGCUGAAAUCGCUGGGCAGUGGACCACACGAACCAAGGUGACAAAUCCUUGCAAGUAACCCCGCAAAGAAGAAGAAAAGGGGCUUUUUCCAUUAAAAACAGCUGCCGGGCCUGGCUGAACAAUGCACUUCAACUACAGUGCCAACGGAGAAAAAGGGAGAAAAAGCAAAAAAAUCGCUGGGCAGUGGACCACACGAACCAAGGUGACAAAUCCUUGCAAGUAACCCCGCAAAGAAGAAGAAAAGGGGCUUUUUCCAUUAAAAACAGCUGCCGGGCCUGGCUGAACAAUGCACUUCAACUACAGUGCCAACGGAGAAAAAGGGAGAAAAAGCAAAAGAACCACGCUGUGAAUCCGCAGGAUCAAGGCGCACCCGUAGGAAUAGGAAAACCACAAACCACGACUCAGCACACCCGAAAGAAUACAAGAGAAACCUUCCUUUGAGAAACCAGAAACGCCAGGGGAAAGCGCGAACGCAGUCCCCCACUACCACAAAUUAUGCAGUCGAGUUUCCCACAUUUGGGGAAAUCGCAGGGGUCAGCACAUCCGGAGUGCAAUGGAUAAGCCUCGCCCUGGGAAAACCACCUUCGUGAUCAUGGUAUCUCCCCUGCCAGGUAA